rnacentral:rRNA from 1 species
CCUUCCCUAUAGUAGAGGAUAGCCCGGCGAAAGUCGGAUUAAUACUCUAUGUUGUUCAAUGCGGACAUCUAAGUUGAACCAAAGGUUUACCGCUAUAGGAUGGGGAUGCGUCUGAUUAGAUGGUAGGCGGGGUAACGGCCCACCUAGUCGACGAUCAGUAGGGUUCUGAGAGGAACGGUCCCCCACAUUGGAACUGAGACACGGUCCAAACUCCUACGGGAGGCAGCAGUGAGGAAUAUUGGUCAAUGGGCGAGAGCCUGAACCAGCCAAGUAGCGUGCAGGAUGACCGGCCCUAGUGGGUUAGUAAACUGUCUUUUAUAGUAGGAAUAAGUGCACCACGUGUGGUGUUUGUAGGUACUAUAUGAAUAAGGACCGGCUAAUUCCGUGCCAGCCGCCGC